rnacentral:rRNA from 1 species
UACGGAGGGCGCAAGCGUUGUUCGGAAUCACUGGGCGUAAAGCGCGUGCAGGCGGCUUGGUAAGUCGGAUGUGAAAUCCCGGAGCUCAACUCCGGAACUGCAUCCGAUACUGCCUCGCUAGAGUCCCGGAGAGGAUGGCGGAAUUUCCGGUGUAGAGGUGAAAUUCGUAGAUAUCGGAAGGAACACCAGCGGCGAAGGCGGCCAUCUGGACGGUGACUGACGCUCAGACGCGAAAGCGCGGGGAGCAAACAGG